UACAGAGGGGGCAAGCGUUGUUCGGAAUUACUGGGCGUAAAGGGCGCGUAGGCGGCCUGUUAAGUCGAACGUGAAAUCCCCGGGCUCAACCCGGGAACUGCGUCCGAUACUGGCAGGCUUGAAUCCGGGAGAGGGAUGUGGAAUUCCAGGUGUAGCGGUGAAAUGCGUAGAUAUCUGGAGGAACACCGGUGGCGAAGGCGGCAUCCUGGACCGGUAUUGACGCUGAGGCGCGAAAGCCAGGUGAGCAAACGGG
rnacentral:rRNA from 1 species